GAUGAACGCUGGCGGCGUGCCUAAUACAUGCAAGUCGAGCGAACGGACGAGAAGCUUGCUUCUCUGAUGUUGGCGGCGGACGGGUGAGUAACACGUGGAUAACCUACCUAUAAGACUGGGAUAACUUCGGGAAACCGGAGCUAAUACCGGAUAAUAUUUUGAACCGCAUGGUUCAAUAGUGAAAGACGGUCUUGCUGUCACUUAUAGAUGGAUCCGCGCUGCAUUAGCUAGUUGGUAAGGUAACGGCUUACCAAGGCAACGAUGCAUAGCCGACCUGAGAGGGUGAUCGGCCACACUGGAACUGAGACACGGUCCAGACUCCUACGGGAGGCAGCAGUAGGGAAUCUUCCGCAAUGGGCGAAAGCCUGACGGAGCAACGCCGCGUGAGUGAUGAAGGUCUUCGGAUCGUAAAACUCUGUUAUUAGGGAAGAACAUAUGUGUAAGUAACUGUGCACAUCUUGACGGUACCUAAUCAGAAAGCCACGGCUAACUACGUG
rnacentral:rRNA from 1 species